GAACAACUUGCAAGAUAAAAAAAGACAAAAAACACACUUAAAACCGUGGCUGCGGGACAGAGCUCGUGCCGGAGCCGAGAAUAGAGAAAGCCUGCGUGUUUGUUUACUCCAAGACGAAGCACAAAAACCAGAGUUGGUGAGCAAAUGGAUUACGAAGAAGAGGAGAAGAUGCAAUAUCAGGGAAGCGGUGCCAUACCUGCACUUGUAGAGGAAGAGUUGGGAGAAGAUGACGAGUAUGAUGAUCUAUAUAAUGAUGUCAAUGUUGGGGAGAAUUUCUUGCAGAUGCAUGGCUCUGAAGCGCCAGCCCCACCUGCUACAGCAGGGAACGGAGGAUUCCAGACUCGAAAUGCUCACGAAUCAAGAGUUGAAACCGGGGGUUCACAGGUGCUUACUAUCUCUGGGGCUGGGGUUGCAGUUGAAGGGAAAUAUUCUAAUGCUGGGGCUCCUUUUCCAGAGCAGAAGCAGGCAGCGAUUGGCGUCGAAGCAAACGAUGUAGGGUCCAUUGGUUAUGGUGAUGGAUCUUCUGUUGCUCAGAAAGGGAGGUUUAUUGAGAUGGGUCAUGAUGUUCAUGUCAGGAACAUGGGAUUUCAAAAACCAGCAUCAGUGCCUCCUGGUACAGGGGUCGAUCCUUCUGAUAUGAGUAGAAAAAUUGCUAAAGAGCCUGAAACUUUGCCAAAUACUGGCAGUUCUGGUCCUCGAGGUGUUCCACAGAUGCAAGUUAAUCAAAUGAAUAUGAAUGCAGAUGCUAAUCGCCCGGUGGUUAAUGAAAAUCAGGUCCGGCCACCUAUAGAGAAUGGUCCAACCACUCUUUAUGUGGGAGAAUUACAUUGGUGGACCACUGACGCAGAGCUUGAGAGUGUUGCAUCUCAAUAUGGGAGGGUGAAAGAGAUUAAAUUCUUUGAUGAGAGGGCUAGUGGUAAGUCUAAAGGCUAUUGCCAAGUUGACUUCUAUGAAGCUGCUGCUGCAGCUGCAUGCAAAGAGGGAAUGAAUGAGCAUGUUUUCAAUGGACGACCUUGUGUUGUGGCCUUUGCUUCUGCACAAACACUCAAGCAGAUGGGGGCUUCUUACAUGAGCAAAACCCAGGGUCAGCCCCAGCCCCAGUCUCAGGGAAGGGGGUCUAUGAAUGAUGGUAUGGGAAGAGGCGGUAAUGCGAAUUAUCAAAGUGGAGAUGGAGGAAGGAACUAUGGAAGAGGUGGGUGGGGAAGGGGUGGGCAGGGAGUUCUCAACCGGGGACCUGGGGGUGGACCAAUGAGGGGAAGAGGUGGCAUGGGUCCCAAGAAUAUGGCUGGGAAUGUUGCUGGAGUUGGAAGCGGUGCUAAUGGUGGAGGGUAUGGACAAGGAAUUGCAGGUCCUGCAUUUGGUGGACCUGCUGGUGGAAUGAUGCAUCACCAGGGUAUGAUGGGUGCUGGAUUUGAUCCAUUAUAUAUGGGGCGAGGGGGUGGUUAUGGGGGUUUUGCUGGCCCUGGUUUUCCUGGCAUGCUUCCUUCAUUUCCUGCUGUUAAUUCAAUGGGACUUGCUGGGGUGGCUCCUCAUGUCAACCCGGCUUUCUUUGCCCGAGGAAUGGCACCUAAUGGGAUGGGAAUGAUGGCCUCCUCUGGAAUGGAAGGGCCGAAUCCAGGAAAGUGGCCUGACACAAGCAUGGGAGGAUGGGGAGAAGAGCCUGGUCGAAGGACAAGGGAGUCAAGCUAUGAUGGUGACGAGGGUGCUUCUGAAUAUGGAUAUGGAGAGGGGAAUCAUGAAAAGGGAGCUCGGUCAAGUGGCGCCUCUAGAGAAAAAGAACGGGUUUCUGAGCGUGACUGGUCGGGUAAUUCUGACAGGCGGCACCGUGAUGAGAGGGAACAGGACUGGGACAGAUCUGAAAGGGAGCACAAGUACAGGGAAGAGAAAGAUACUUACCGUGGACAUCGUCAAAGAGAGCGUGACUCGGGUUAUGAGGAUGAUCGGGAUAGAGGGCACUCUUCUUCAAGAGCUCGGAGCAGGUCCCGUGCGGCUCCAGAAGAAGAUUACAGGUCUCGAUCAAGGGAUGUAGACUAUGGCAAAAGGAGGCGCCCGCCAUCAGAGUGACAACACCAUGCUGUUCAUCCUUCUAGGACGGUGCAGAGGGUGUCUUCUCAGGAGAGGAAGGGUUCUCCCUUUAUCAUCCAUCCAGGGAGUGGACUGGGCAACUCUUUGUUUUCAUGAUUGAUCAAUUUUUGAUGUCUGGGGGAAGAUGUGUUAGAUUGAGCAGCUUCAUUGGUUCCUUCCAUAAUGGUUUUCGACUGCAAAGUUUGCAAAAGAAGCCUUCAUAUUUUUGCUUUUUCUUUCUUUCCUCGAGCAUCAUUUAGGAAUCUGCAAAUAAUGCUCCUGUGAGACUAUGUAUAGAAAGAGAUGUAUUUUGUGGAGCUGUAGAAUGUAUGGGAUGUCUGUGAUAAGUUUCAGGAUGUUAGCAUCGCGUUUAUUUUUUUUGUAAAUCACCAGACUCACUUCUGUAAACAAAUACAUGUAUUAGGUCCAUAGCUUAGUCUCCUCAGUUGUUUAUCUGAAUAUAGCUCUUAUGUGAGCUUGUAAAAAAGCCUUGUACUGAUGAUGAGGCUCUUCUUUGUACAAAUUUGAUGCCUUGCAAUUCGUCAUCCUAUCUUGGUGUAAGAAGGGUCAGAGAUGAGCUAGUGCUGCAUAAUGAUGGGUAGCUGUUUCCACUGUAACAAUGUAAAAACUAGUUUUUUUUUUUUGAAUUGGUUUUAUGCCAUCAGUUCCUUGUUUUUUGUAGUUCUGAUGGAUCUGCUGUAUAAAACCAUUGUUUUCCAGUUUGUUCAUUAGGAUAUGGAGUUUAAGAUGUUUAUUAGAUUUUCGGUCUUCAAUCUUCUUGUAUCUGUAUACAAGGACAGGCACAGAUCUUGAAGGUCUAAGUGUUACUGAAUCAUGACAUGGAAAGUUGCUACAGCUGUAUCAAGUAUACUGUUGUUGGUUUUA